rnacentral:rRNA from 1 species
CCUACGGGUGGCUGCAGUGGGGAAUAUUGGACAAUGGGGGGAACCCUGAUCCAGCCAUGCCGCGUGUGUGAAGAAGGCCCUCGGGUUGUAAAGCACUUUCAGUGAGGAAGAACGCCUGGUGGUUAAUACCCAUCAGGAAAGACAUCACUCACAGAAGAAGCACCGGCUAACUCCGUGCCAGCAGCCGCGGUAAUACGGAGGGUGCGAGCGUUAAUCGGAAUUACUGGGCGUAAAGCGCGCGUAGGUGGCUUGAUAAGCCGGUUGUGAAAGCCCCGGGCUCAACCUGGGAACGGCAUCCGGAACUGUCAAGCUAGAGUGCAGGAGAGGAAGGUAGAAUUCCCGGUGUAGCGGUGAAAUGCGUAGAGAUCGGGAAGAAUACCAGUGGCGAAGGCGGCCUUCUGGACUGACACUGACACUGAGGUGCGAAAGCGUGGGUAGCAAACAGGAUUAGAUACCCCUGUAGUC